AUACGUUUCUAGUGCGCACGUGUGCAUAUUCUUAAGAAACACGUGUUUGUUGAGCAUGUUCUUUGAGCGUGUGGCUUAUUAGAGUUUCUCGUGCCCUCGUGAUUAUUAGAUCAUAUACAUGAUUCUAUACUGAUACUGUUUAAGAGCUAAACUUAUUACCGGCUGCAACAUUGGGCUCGUCAUCCAGUAAAGCAGGCCAUGCUGCGGCCGUGACACCUGAGGAUGAGAACACACGAAAAAAGAUGCGGUGAGGGUACAUACAUCACGUUACCAUGAGAAGAGAUGCAGUGAGUGCCUUCAUCACUGCAUAGAAGAUCAAACGACGCGGUUACAUUUGAUUAACAAAUAACAAACAAUGGACUGUGAUUGGACGAGAGCAGGGAUCCGCAGGUCGAGAAAGCAAAACAUGGCAGGUCUAGGGCUAUCUGAGCGGUAAACAUAUCAUGUAUUAUGAUCUAAGAGCCCUCUUACCACAAACUUAGUUUUCGUUUAUAAUAUUUUGGACAUAUCGUGAAAUAAAUACGAUACACCAAAAGUUGGUAUUCAAAUUUUCAUCUCUAAUAAGACUUCUUCAAGAAGUAGGUGGAAUGGAACGGCGUAACACAAAAAGUCGAAUCUUAGCUUCUUAACCUUUUUUGUUUUGUUUUCGCCACUUUCCCAGUAACAUUUGAUUUACAAGAAAAUGUGAUUUUUUUAGGUUUAUUGAACAGGUGCAUCUUGUGAUUAGCCGUGAGCCAAAAGGGCCAGGGGGUUUGGGUGAUUUCACAUCAUCCUUAAAUCUAGCCCACAAUGCAAUUCGUGGCUCGAGGCUAGUUUUUCACCGUUUACACCGGGUAAACGCCUGCAUUACAGGAAACCUGACAUUUCAUAUCUUGAAAUAUAGGCAGACAUUGUUAUUAGAACACCUGUCAGUCUGACCACUGAAUUCGGCCUAUUUACAAUAAUUCCUAAUAUAAUAAAAAUACUAAUUUAAGAAAUACAAAUAUUAAUUCAUAAACUACAUUGAUAAAUAAGCUAUAUAGAAUUGAAUAGACGAUUUAAAAAAGUCUAAAAGGCUGGUAUGAGGAGGCCCCUUACAAUAAAUAACUAUUCAUGAA